AUAAUAUAUCUGAUGCAUAAUUAGGGAAACGAUAUGUGAAUGGAUUGUGAGAACAAUCCUAAUUGGGAAUGGUUUGUGCAUAAGCUGGGUCGGGUCAUAAAUUUUGGUUAGUUAAACCGAUCGGUCCUGGUUUUUGGUUCUGAUGAGUCAACGUUGGGUCAAUGCCGGAGUAAAUCGUCCGAAAAUUUCGGUUUUAUGGACGGUGAUCCUGUCGACAAAUUAAUCACGUUGGUGCAAAAACGUGUCAGUAAUGCCUCAAUGUAUUUAUAUAUUUAUGUGAAUAUAUAAUGUCUCUUUUCUACAAAACACUGAAAAAACUAUAUAAUAAACAUUCUAAUUUUUACGAAGCCACCAAUUAACGGUUCUAGCCGAUGUUCUUGACUAGCUUUUUUAAAUUGGUUAUCACUUUUAAAUUGGUUCUAGCCUAUGUGAAUCAUGUGUCUUUUAAAUUGGUUCUAGCCUAUUCUAAUUUUUAACGAAGUCACGAACUAAUUAACGGCUCUAGGCGAUGUUCUUGACGAGCUUUAAAUUGUUUUUUUCACUAUAUACCUAAUGAAGAAAAAAAAGAGAUGUUCUCUUACAGGACAUGCGAAUAAGACAGUGUAUGACAUAUUGACAUGUUAUGCUUAAUUUUUUUAAUAUUUAUGUUUAGUGUUUCACAGAUUGUUAUGGGUGCAUAUGCUAAAGUAAAGAUAAAAUCACGAUCACAUGCAAAGUACACUUGAAACGUGUAACCUGAGGACAGUUAGAUUGGAAUCAGGGUUUCUAUAAGUGGAAACCCAGAUCUUGUUUUUUCCCUUCUUCAUAGUUUAUUUAUGGAAAAGGAAAGAAACUAAUAAAGAAAGGUGUGUGACAGAAGAAGUGAUUUUUUUUUUUAUAUAAUUUUUCUUUCUAUCAAAGUGACCUUUCACAAGUUGUGAAGUGACCUUUCACAAUUUGUCAGCCUUUACCUUUGUAUGUGUGGGAAACGUAUUGGUGGGUGUUGUGGGUCGCCAACAUUAAAAUUUCCAAAAAUGACAAAAGUAGGAAACACACUAAGCAGCCAAAGCUGUGAUUCAUGGUCGACACUGUCACUUGGAAUAAAUAAUAAAAAAAGGUUCUUGUUGGUUCUUUUUUUUAUAACAUUUCUCUGAUGACUAAGUUAACUGAAUAAUUUUCAUGCAUGUAUAUAUGUGUUCUAUUUA